GGGCCCGCACAAGCGGUGGAGCAUGUGGUUUAAUUCGAAGCAACGCGCAGAACCUUACCCAGGCUUGACAUCCUCAGAACCUCUUGGAAACAAGAGGGUGCCCUCUCACGAGGGAAUUGAGUGACAGGUGCUGCAUGGCUGUCGUCAGCUCGUGCUGUGAGGUGUUCGGUUAAGUCCGGCAACGAGCGCAACCCCUGUCGCUAGUUACCAGCAUUUAGUUGGGGACUCUAGCGAGACUGCCGGUGAUAAACCGGAGGAAGGUGGGGACGACGUCAAGUCCUCAUGGCCCUUAUGUCUGGGGCUACACACGUGCUACAAUGGCAUCUACAGAAGGCAGCGAAGUCGCAAGGCGGAG
rnacentral:rRNA from 1 species